rnacentral:rRNA from 1 species
GACGAACGCUGGCGGCGUGCUUAACACAUGCAAGUCGAACGGAAAGGCCCUGCUUUUGUGGGGUGCUCGAGUGGCGAACGGGUGAGUAACACGUGAGUAACCUGCCCUUGACUUUGGGAUAACUUCAGGAAACUGGGGCUAAUACCGGAUAUGAGCUCCUGCUGCAUGGUGGGGGUUGGAAAGUUUCGGCGGUUGGGGAUGGACUCGCGGCUUAUCAGCUUGUUGGUGGGGUAGUGGCUUACCAAGGCUUUGACGGGUAGCCGGCCUGAGAGGGCGACCGGCCACAUUGGGACUGAGAUGCGGCCCAGACUCCUACGGGAGGCAGCAGUGAGGAAUAUUGCACGAUGGGCGGAAGCCUGAUGCAGCAACGCCGCGUGCGGGAUGACGGCCUUCGGGUUGUAAACCGCUUUCGCCUGUGACGAAGCGUGAGUGACGGUAAUGGGUAAAGAAGCACCGGCUAACUACGUG